GACGAACGCUGGCGGCGUGCCUAAUACAUGCAAGUUGAGCGCUGAAGGUUGGUCCUUGUACCAACUGGAUGAGCAGCGAACGGGUGAGUAACGCGUGGGGAAUCUGCCUUUGAGCGGGGGACAACCUUUGGAAACGAAUGCUAAUACCGCAUAAAAACUUUAAACACAAGUUUUAAGUUUGAAAGAUGCAAUUGCAUCACUCAAAGAUGAUCCCGCGUUGUAUUAGCUAGUUGGUGAGGUAAAGGCUCACCAAGGCGAUGAUACAUAGCCGACCUGAGAGGGUGAGCGGCCACAUUGGGACUGAGACACGGCCCAAACGCCUACGGGAGGCAGCAGUAGGGAAACGUCGGCAAGGGACGAAAGUCUGACCGAGCAACGCCGCGUGAGUGAAGAAUGUUUUCGGAUCGUAAAACUCUGUUGGUAGAGAAGAACGUUGGUGAGAGUGGAAAGCUCAGCAAGUGACGGUAACUACCCAGAAAGGGACGGCUAACUACGUG
rnacentral:rRNA from 1 species